UCCCCAACUGUGAACCAUGUCGUCGACGGUACUCCGAUCCGCCGGCCGCUCGUUCGGCCGGUCGAUUUCGCGGGUACUUGAGGAGCGGCCGGGGUUCUUGCCCCGGUCGCUGGGGCGGACUCCCCGCUUCUUCAGCUCCGAUAGCUUCGGGAGGGCUACACCGAUCGAGCAUUCUUCAUCAGAUCAGGUUGCAGCAGCUGACGCUUCAGGAUAUAAGAACCAUAUCCAGGAGGGGAAGAUGUCUCAAUGCACUCAUUUGAAACUGGAUAGAGUAAUAGAAUCCAUGCUUCGGGAUGUCCAUAAGCUAGACCAAAUAGAAGCUGGGAUGCAAGAGAUGAAAAAACGUGAGGAAAUGUAUGCUCAACAACGGAAGGAAGCGUUCGUAGGGGCCUCUGUUAUCGCCUCUGGGAUCGCUGGCCUCGUAUUUUGUGUUAAGAAAGUAGUAUUUGGUUGAGUCAAGGAGUAAACCAUCGUAGGGGUUUGUACUGUUAUUAAGUCAUGAUGACACUUUAGCUUGCAAGCUGUGGCUAACUAAAACCAUUUCAUGCUAUAACUUUGGGAUCUGCUUUGAGAUGUGACUAAUUAAAUCAACUGUAAAUAGAACCGAAACAUGCCAAUAAACAGUGGGUGUCAUGUUCUCCUCAAGGACAAUGCGCUCGGCGAAAGCUAGGUAUCUAGAUCAGGGUGAAUUUGCAAAAGUCAAAUAAACCAGAGUGGUUUACAGUGACUCUGUUUGGAUGCCCAUUGGACCUUCCAAAGGUCGGACACCUAAUCCUUAGGAUUUUUGCAGGGAGCUCAUAGAUCCAAGAUCUUCCGAAUAAAAUGGGCUGUGUUAGCAAAAUAUGUUUCUCAUAGCGAUGCCCGAAAACUGGAAACACCCACUUAUAGUGUAGCUGUAAAUUUUACGUUCUGGUGUUGGUACUUCUUCUCGUGACAAUGACAACCCUUACAAGACUUUAAUGCUGGACAUUAGUAGUUGCUCUGCCUGUAUUCGUUUGCUCAUGGUGAAUAUCUCUAUGGAUGUUGUGUGUUACUUUGUACACAUUGAAUUACUUACAUCGUUUGAUAGUCCAACUUGUUGGUAUGUGUAGUGUAGAUUCAUAAAAGUACUUGGUACAAAACUAAAUAUCCUCUACAACUUAUGGCAGUGAUGGAGCUGAGAUUUUUU